GAAGUGUUGUCUGUAUAAAAGGAACAGCACAGGUCGUGCGUGCCAAGGUUGACCGAAGCUCUGCACCCUACACGGCCUGUGAACAUCCAGCAUGCAUUGGAUACACUCCUCCUCAGGACUUCUCCCUCUGGACCGUAUGCUCAUGGUGACCCUGGUGAGCACCUGCUGUCUCCUGUUCUCCGAGGCCACGUCAGAUGUUACAUCUCCUAAAAUCCUGAGACCGAAGUCACGGAAGAUUAAAGCUUCUCUGGGUGAACCGCUGGUGAUUCCCUGCAAGGCAGACCCGGGGUUUACCGAUGACCUCACUCUCAUCUACUGGCUGGUGAACAGGAGCUUCGUAGAGCACGCAUAUCCAGACGGCAGGAUCAGGGCGGGCCCAGAGGAAACAAAGACGAGAGGCAGCAGAACAUUCAUGCGAAGGGACCUGGUUUUCCAGCAGAUCGCCAGGGAGGAUUUUGAGGCCACCUACAUGUGUGUGGUGAGCAACGCAGCUGGGAUUGAUAUAAGGGAACUGCGGCUGAAAAGAGUGAACCAAACAUAUAUCUACGGAAGGAAAUGCAAACAUGCUGGAGCGAAAAUAAGAAAAAGAUCGGUUGGUGGAAGACACCAGCAAACCUUCUUGAAAAUAGCUACACCUUCCUGAGCGCGUGAUAUUAAUUACGCUGAUGGACUCAACCCGACUCUCCCGGAACGCCCAGAGGAAGCUCGAGCGAGCGCCACGCGCUACCUUUGCAAUUCUAAUGAGACGCCGUACAUCAGCCCUGUGACGGGUGUACAUUUCAUUCGCUGUUUAAAUCUGCUGAUAAUAUACAAUAAUAGAGAAGACGUGUGCUGGCCGUGGCGGCUGCCCGGCGAAUGUACAUUCAUUGUCCUUUUAAAAUAUACAAUGUCUUUUGAAGUAGAUGGGAAAAACACAUGCUUGAUUAAAAAAAUAUAUACAUAUUGCCUCUUUGUGGUUAAAUGAGCUUACUGUCUGGUAUGACUGAAGCUUCUACAUCCUGAAGAACAACUGCCACACAUUACACUGUUGCUGGUGCACACCGUGGAACUUUUGGAAUGCCGUUUUUGCAGUAAAUCAAGGGGAGGGUAAUAUGUAUUUCCAUGAUUUCCUCAUCUAUCAUCUUAGCUUGUGUUUAAGUGCUCCAGUCCAAGGAUUUCUCCGGUUAUUAUUCUUGAGCCUGAUGGUAAUGAUUACAAAUGAUAUCUACUCCUCUGUUUGGUAUGGUAUCUAUUAAUAGCCAUAGAAUUAUUAGACUGCAAUGGUCUGCUCAGGGGUUUUGUUAAUAAUUAAUCUUGACAAAUAUAUUUUUUC